UUGGUUUGCAUCUGUAAAGGGUCAACUCCCAAAAGAUAGCCUCGUUGCUCACCCCCGCCAGAUAUGAGGGCGUUACACUUUGUUACAGGUGGCUCCCGCCUUAAAUUACCUACUUCGCCGCCGUCAAGAUGUCAGAUUCCAACAAACUUCACUCUUUCUUAUUCCAGAAAAUACAUGGUUAAAAUGUCGAUUAACUCAACCCCAUCUGGGUCAGCAAUCCCAAUUGACACCAUUGUUUUGGGUUGUGGGAUGGUGGCAUUGGACUACUUGGUUACUGUUGAUUCUUAUCCUAAGCCUGAUGAUAAGAUUCGUAGCACCAGCUUUCAGGUUCAGGGAGGUGGGAAUACUGGGAAUGCUAUGACGUGUGCAGCUCGUUUGGGUUUAACUCAAAGAAUUAUAUCUAAGGUUGCGGAUGACUCUCAAGGGAAAAGAAUACUGAACGAGCUAGAAGCUGAUGGCAUUGAUACAUCUUUUAUUGUGGUGUCCAAAGGGGGCCAUUCAACAAUCUCUUAUGUUAUUGUUGACAGUCAAACGAAAACACGAACUUCCAUCUACACACCAGGGUAUCCACCCAUGGUAGCUGAUGAUUUGCCAGACUCGAGUUUGUCGUCUGCAUUGGAUGGUGUGAGGCUUGUCUAUACUGAUGGAGUACUUCAUGAAGCUGCUUUAGUUGUGGCCCAAGAGGCACAUCAAAGGAGUAUACCUAUUGUGAUUGAUGCAGAAAGAAAAAUAGAAGGGUUGGAUGAGCUUCUACACUUGGCAACCUACAUUGUUUGCUCCACAAGAUUUCCACAGAUAUGGACCGAGGCUCCUUCUAUAGCAGGUGGACUAAUUUCCAUGCUUUUAAAGUUGCCAAGUACCAAAUUUGUAAUUGCUACAUUGGGAGAAGAUGGCUGCGUAAUGCUAGAAAGAGCAGAAACUGGGGAUAUCCAGCCUGAAGAAGUUGAUAUUGAUGACUUGUUUGAAAAAAUGAAGCAGAGUAUUGAUACUACCUCAACCCUGCCAACAUGCAAAACCUUGGAUAUUGCAAAGCUGCACGCGAAAGGGAUUGGGACUGUGUGUGGUAGGCUGCUCGUGGGAACAGCUGAAAAGAUACCAUUCUCGGAAAUAGUUGAUACAACUGGUGCUGGAGAUGCAUUUGUUGGAGCAGUUCUUUAUUGUACGUGAAAUAAUAGUAUAGUUAGUAUACUAUGCGCCUUUUGUCAACCGCUCUUGCUGCAACUGUUCUUACUUUAGUAGUGUGGCAUCUCCGCUGUUCUCCCUAUGCUUGUCGCUGCUAGGGAUUUAAAGUGUCUAAACAAUUUCUGUUUCAAUUAUGCUUCCAUGAAGUCCGUCUUGGUUCAUUUAGUAGCUCUCUCUGCUAAUUUCCCACCUGAAAAGAUGCUGAUGUUUGCUUCUCAAGUG